rnacentral:rRNA from 1 species
UUUUUAUGGAGAGUUUGAUCCUGGCUCAGGAUGAACGCUGGCGGCGUGCCUAAUACAUGCAAGUCGAGCGAACAGACGAGGAGCUUGCUCCUCUGACGUUAGCGGCGGACGGGUGAGUAACACGUGGAUAACCUACCUAUAAGACUGGGAUAACUUCGGGAAACCGGAGCUAAUACCGGAUAAUAUAUUGAACCGCAUGGUUCAAUAGUGAAAGACGGUUUUGCUGUCACUUAUAGAUGGAUCCGCGCCGCAUUAGCUAGUUGGUAGGGUAACGGCUUACCAAGGCGACGAUGCGUAGCCGACCUGAGAGGGUGAUCGGCCACACUGGA